rnacentral:lncRNA from 10 species
AGUGCGGUGUUUUAGCCGGUGGCUGCUGUCUCUGGGCGGGCCGUGGGAGGCUCCCGAGGUGGGGGCCGGGGCGGGAUGGCUGCAGCGGCGGCCGGGGCCGGGAGCGGGCCCUGGGCGGCCCAGGAGAAGCAGUUCCCGCCGGCGCUGCUGAGUUUCUUCAUCUACAACCCGCGCUUCGGGCCGCGCGAAGGACAGGAGGAAAAUAAGAUUUUAUUUUAUCAUCCAAAUGAGGUAGAAAAGAAUGAGAAGAUUAGAAAUGUCGGAUUGUGUGAAGCUAUUGUACAGUUUACAAGGUAAUACCUCUAAGUGUGCUUUUAGCGUUCAGUGAAUUCUUAAAACUGCUGCUGGAGAAUUGUCCCAAACAUAUUUUUUUAACCUUUGUAGGACAUUUAGCCCAUCAAAACCUGCAAAAUCUUUACAUACACAGAAGAACAGACAGUUCUUCAAUGAACCAGAAGAAAAUUUCUGGAUGGUCAUGGUAUUUACAUACACAGUGUAUCUUUCUGAAAUUGUAUGGUGAAGUUAUGGGUGAUCUUUACUGUUCA